rnacentral:rRNA from 1 species
UUAGAUACCCUGGUAGUCCAUGCCGUAAACGUUGGGAACUAGGUGUGGGCCUCAUUCCACGAGGUCCGUGCCGCAGCUAACGCAUUAAGUUCCCCGCCUGGGGAGUACGGCCGCAAGGCUAAAACUCAAAGGAAUUGACGGGGGCCCGCACAAGCGGCGGAGCAUGCGGAUUAAUUCGAUGCAACGCGAAGAACCUUACCAAGGCUUGACAUAUACCGGAAAAGUGCAGAGAUGUGCUCCCCGCAAGGUCGGUAUACAGGUGGUGCAUGGUUGUCGUCAGCUCGUGUCGUGAGAUGUUGGGUUAAGUCCCGCAACGAGCGCAACCCUCGUUCUAUGUUGCCAGCACGUGAUGGUGGGGACUCAUAGGAGACUGCCGGGGUCAACUCGGAGGAAGGUGGGGAUGACGUCAAAUCAUCAUGCCCCUUAUGUCUUGGGCUUCACGCAUGCUACAAUGGCCAGUACAAAGGGCUGCGAGACCGCAAGGUGGAGCGAAUCCCAAAAAACUGGUCUCAGUUCGGAUUGGGGUCUGCAACUCGACCCCAUGAAGUCGGAGUCGCUAGUAAUCGCAGAUCAGCAACGCUGCGGUGAAUACGUUCCCGGGCCUUGUACACACCGCCCGUCAAGUCACGAAAGUCGGUAACACCCGAAGCCGGUGGCCUAACUCGCAAGAGGAGGAGCCGUCGAAGGUGGGACUGGCGAUUGGGACUAAGUCGUAACAAGGUA